GGGCCCGCACAAGCGGUGGAGCAUGUGGUUUAAUUCGAUGAUACGCGAGGAACCUUACCAGGGCUUAAAUGUAGUAUGACCGGCUUGGAAACAGGCCUUCUCUUCGGAGCAGAUUACAAGGUGCUGCAUGGUUGUCGUCAGCUCGUGCCGUGAGGUGUUAGGUUAAGUCCUGCAACGAGCGCAACCCCUAUUCUUAGUUGCCAGCGGUUCGGCCGGGGACUCUAAGAAGACUGCCAGCGCAAGCUGAGAGGAAGGUGGGGAUGACGUCAAAUCAUCACGGCCCUUACGUCCUGGGCUACACACGUGCUACAAUGGUAGAGACAGAGGGCAGCCACCUGGCGACAGGGAGCGAAUCCUUAAACUCUAUCUCAGUUCGGAUUGGAGUCUGCAACUCGACUCUAUGAAGCUGGAAUCGCUAGUAA
rnacentral:rRNA from 1 species